rnacentral:rRNA from 1 species
UAGUUGGUGGGGUAAAGGCCUACCAAGGCGACGAUCAGUAGCGGGUCUGAGAGGAUGAUCCGCCACACUGGGACUGAGACACGGCCCAGACUCCUACGGGAGGCAGCAGUGGGGAAUUUUGGACAAUGGGGGGAACCCUGAUCCAGCCAUGCCGCGUGUCUGAAGAAGGCCUUCGGGUUGUAAAGGACUUUUGUACGGGAAGAAAGGCUUUGGGCUAAUACCCUGAAGUUAUGACGGUACCGUAAGAAUAAGCACCGGCUAACUACGUGCCAGCAGCCGCGGUAAUACGUAGGGUGCAAGCGUUAAUCGGAAUUACUGGGCGUAAAGCGAGCGCAGACGGUUACUUAAGCAGGAUGUGAAAUCCCCGGGCUUAACCUGGGAACGGCGUUCUGAACUGGGUAACUAGAGUAUGUCAGAGGGGGGUAGAAUUCCACGUGUAGCAGUGAAAUGCGUAGAGAUGUGGAGGAAUACCGAUGGCGAAGGCAGCCCCCUGGGAUAAUACUGACGUUCAUGCUCGAAAGCGUGGGUAGCAAACAGGAUUAGAUACCCUGGUAGUCCACGCCCUAAACGAUGUCAAUUAGCUGUUGGGGUACUUGAUACCUUAGUAGCGUAGCUAACGCGUGAA